CCUACGGGAGACAGCAGUGGGGGAUAUUGCACAAUGGGGGAAACCCUGAUGCAGCCACGCCGCGUGUGGGAAGAAGGCCUUCGGAUUGUAAACCUCUGUUUGUAGUGAAGAUAAUUACGGUAACUAAGCAGUAAUCUCCGGCUAACUACGUUCCAGCAGCCGCGGUAAUACGGAGGCAGCAAGCGUUAUCCGGAUUUACUGGGGGUAAAGGGUGCGUAGACGGUCUGGCAAGUCAGGCGUGAAAGCCAUAGGCUCAACCUGAGGACUGCAUUUGAAACUGUGCGGCUGGAGUGAAGUAGAGGUAGGCGGAAUUCCUGGUGUAGCGGUGAAAUGCGUAGAGAUCAGGAGGAACACCAAUGGCGAAGGCAGCCUACUAGGCUGUAACUGACGCUGAGGCUCGAAAGCAUGGGUAGCAAACAGGAUUAGAUACCCUUGUAGUC
rnacentral:rRNA from 1 species